GUGGGGAAUAUUGGACAAUGGGCGAAAGCCUGAUCCAGCCAUGCCGCGUGUGUGAAGAAGGUCUUCGGAUUGUAAAGCACUUUAAGUUGGGAGGAAGGGUAGUAACCUAAUACGUUGCUACUUUGACGUUACCGACAGAAUAAGCACCGGCUAACUUCGUGCCAGCAGCCGCGGUAAUACGAAGGGUGCAAGCGUUAAUCGGAAUUACUGGGCGUAAAGCGCGCGUAGGUGGUUCAGUAAGUUGGAAGUGAAAUCCCCGGGCUCAACCUGGGAACUGCUUUCAAAACUGCUGAGCUAGAGUACGGUAGAGGGUGGUGGAAAUUCCUGUGUAGCGGUGAAAUGCGUAGAUAUAGGAAGGAACACCAGUGGCGAAGGCGACCACCUGGACUGAUACUGACACUGAGGUGCGAAAGCGUGGGGAGCAAACAGGAUUAGAAACCCCUGUAGUCC
rnacentral:rRNA from 1 species